GACGAACCGUCCAAACGUUAUUCGGAAUUACUGGGCUUAAAGGGUGCGUAGGCGGUGCGGAAAGUUGGGUGUGAAAUCCCUCGGCUCAACCGAGGAAUUGCGCUCAAAACUACCGUGCUUGAGGGAGAUAGGGGUGAGCGGAACUUGGGGUGGAGCGGUGAAAUGCAUUGAUAUCCCAAGGAACGCCAGUGGCGAAAGCGGCUCACUGGAUCUCUUCUGACGCUGAGGCACGAAAGCUAGGGUAGCGAACGGG
rnacentral:misc_RNA from 1 species